rnacentral:lncRNA from 1 species
ACUCGCCACGGUGCUGUGGAAUUCUCUGGUUUUUCACGCAAGGUCAGGCGUCCUGCUGGCGCCCUCUCGCCACCCUGCCCUCCCGUCAGAAGCCCGGCUCCUCGCCGGGGAAGGCCGGAUGCUGGCCCGCCGGGACCUGGGACUUGUGCCACAUGGAGUGUCGGGAGUCUCCAUUGCCGCGAGUUCUACACCACAGGGCCAGGCUGUUUGCUCCCCAUCGGUCGCUGCCCCCAGCACCCUGUUGUUAUUAAGGACUCAUUUGCUUGGAGCGGCAUCAUUACAAGGCACCAGAUACUGCUACACCAUCUCAUCGGCAUGGACCUAUAUGUGGCAGCAAGUCCAUCUCAUCGCUUUUGGUGAAAGUCAGUCCAGUUUGUAAAGAUUCUCAUUGCCUUGGAAAGUGUUCCAGGAAUGGACUUUCUGCAGUAUGAUGACCUGCAAAAGCAGCCCUUCCAUUUACAUUUCAAACUCCAAGUCAGCCGUGUCAAAGUUUGAACCAGAACUGUGGAGGAUAAUGGGUCAGAUGCAAUUAGCAGCCCAGAGAACCACACGUUGCAGUCUGAUUUAUUUUUUUGCCCAUCAGAUUCCAAGAAUCCUAGUGCUUAAAAGCAACUAAACAAUCGCUCUAUUGUACUGAAAUAAAGCCCGGUUAAUUCAGAAAUCAAUUGCACCACCAGGUGGGGCACACUCUGGCCCCAAACAGAUGGGGUUGAAAACUCCCCUCAAAAUGCAGUCUUGUUAAAUUAAAAACUUGAUCCAGGAGUGGAACAAAUAGGGAGCCAUGAAUGGAAUGGAGUCAGGUCCACUCAGGCGGAUUCUUUCUUCUCCCACUCCUUUUCCUUUAAAAAAGAAAAAUUCCCCAUUUCACUUUCAUCAGUGUUAGCAUCUAUGCAGAAACGCAGCCAUCCACCCUUUGCAGUUGAAUGUGUUACUUUAAUUAGUCUGAAAAUUAAAGGGCAACUCCGGGCCAAUGUGAAUGAUUAUGAAAAUACAUGUGCAUCCCAUGCAAUCUUCUCAUUUAAUUAAUAGUCUUGUAAACUAUAUGGCUCACUUUAAGUCAGUCAAGAGGUAUAACAACUCCAUUUUAAAUAUCCACUUAAUACUUAACAGGAUGUGAGGAACACACUAUAGCAUACGGUCCCUUCUCAAGUUUCACUGUCUGAAAUUUUUCAAAGCUGACCCAAGUCAACCUGAAAAAUGUUUAACACCCUGGGCUUGAACACAAGAAACUCUGUGAUGAACAGACAUUCAAUUACAUUUUUUAAAAGUGAGAAGCAUUUUUGUAAAAUAGCGACUCUGGAAACUAAUUGGCAGCCGCAAAACUUGUGAGCAAAGGCCAAAUCUUGUGGGGAACUUUUACUACAGUAACACGACUCAAAGAAAAUGUGAAUAAA